UUGAUCCUGCCGGACCCUACUGCUAUCGGGGUAGGACUAAGACAUGCAAGUCGUGCGUCUCUAAGCCAUGGUAGAGACGUGGCGUACGGCUCAGUAACACGUGGCUAACCUACCCUUAGGACGGAGACAACCCCGGGAAACUGAGGCUAAUACCCGAUAGGUGAGGAGGCCCGGAAUGGUUCCUUGCUGAAAAGGCAUCAUGGUUAUGCUCUGUGGUGUCGCUCAAGGAUGGGGCCGCGUCCGAUCAGGCUGUUGGUGAGGCAAUGGCUCACCAAACCUAUAACCGGUACGGGCCGUGGGAGCGGGAGCCCGGAGAUGGGAACUGAGACAAGGUCCCAGGCCCUACGGGGCGCAGCAGUUACGAAAACUUGUCAAUGCACGAAAGUGUGAACGGGCUACCCCGAGUGCCGUCCGCUGAGGAUGGCUUUUCUCUGCUUUAAGAAGGCAGAGGAAUAAGGCGAGGGCAAGUCUGGUGUCAGCCGCCGCGGUAAUACCAGCUCGCCGAGUGGUAGGGAUGAUUAUUGGGCCUGAAGCGUCCGUAGCUGGCCUUUCAAGUCUCUUGUUAAAUCCAGCGAUUCAAUCGUUGGACUGCAGGAGAUACUGCAAGGCUAGGAGGCGAGAGAAGCCGACGGUAUUUUCGGGGUAGGGGUAAAAUCCUAUAAUCCCGAGAAGACCACCAGUGGCGAAGGCGGUCGGCUAGCGCGCGCUCGACAGUGAGGGACGAAAGCUGGGGGAGCGAACCGGAUUAGAUACCCGGGUAGUCCCAGCUGUAAACGAUGCUGGCUAGGUGUUGAAGCGGCCACGAGCCGCUUCAGUGCCGCAGGAAAGCCAUUAAGCCAGCCGCCUGGGGAGUACGGCCGCAAGGCUGAAACUUAAAGGAAUUGGCGGGGGAGCACCACAAGGGGUGAAGCUUGCGGUUUAAUUGGAUUCAACGCCGG
rnacentral:rRNA from 1 species